GGCUGUGGCUCAGUGGCAGAGCACUUGCCUAGCACAUGUGAGGCCCUGAGUUCAAUCCUCAUCACCA
rnacentral:tRNA from 1 species